rnacentral:rRNA from 1 species
AACGAACGCUGGCGGCGUGCCUAACACAUGCAAGUCGAACGAGAAAGGGGCUUCGGCUCCGAGUAAAGUGGCGCACGGGUGAGUAACACGUGGGUAACCUGCCUCUAAGAUUGGGAUAACUCGUCGAAAGAUGAGCUAAUACCGAAUAAGACCACAGUUCCCGCGGGAACAGGGGUCAAAGGUAGCCUCUGCUUGCAAGCUAUCACUUAGAGAUGGGCCUGCGCACCAUUAGCUAGUUGGUAGGGUAACGGCCUACCAAGGCAAAGAUGGUUAGCUGGUCUGAGAGGAUGAUCAGCCACACUGGAACUGAGACACGGUCCAGACGCCUACGGGAGGCAGCAGGGGGGAAUAUUGCGCAAGGGGCGAAAGCUUGACGCAGCAACGCCGCGGGAGGGAUGAAGGCCUUCGGGUCGUAAAGCUCUGUCGGGAGGAACGAAUGCUCCUGAGGUUAACAGCCUCGGGAGGUGACGGUACCUUCAAAGGAAGCACCGGCUAACUCUGUG